UCCUGCCCCACCGGCAAGCCGGGCACCGCCAUGCCCGCCCUUCCUUUUGACCGAUCUCCUCCUUCCUCCCCAUCGAUGCCGUGGGAGCACCCAUCCGGCCGCCCAGACCCCAGCCGGUGAUGCCGCCACCGCCAUGUAGCCGCAGCCACACCCCUGACGACGGUGCCGCCGUAGCCACACCCCCGCCGAUGAAGCCACCGCAGCCCCGAGCCCAACCGAUGACGCGCCACACCACCUGCCGGAACACCUCGGCGUCACUGGAUCCGGCGAGGAUCUUCACCACCCUCCACUCUUUGGCGACCACCAGCCCGCGUGCGGAUGGGGUGCUAUCCUGCAGAUCGAGGAGGCGUCAAACUUCAGAUGGAGGAGGCCACAACCUGCAGCUGGCCACGCGCUAUGGUCGCGCGUCGCCGGCAUCCUCCGUCAUGCUCGGCACCUGCUGAGCAUUGGAGUGAAGCGCCCCAGAGUAAGCAGCCCUGAGCCAUUCAAGUAUGCAGCCCUGGGCCGUUCAACGAUGGAGCUGCCGACCGUUCGUGAAGACAACAUCCCGGAUCCUGCUGCCCACCAUCAAGUUCAACUUCUGUUGAACCAUGUAAAGGGAGACUUAUUGUGUUGAUCCCGGUGCUUGUCGCCAUUCACGAGGAAAGAUAGUCGGUCUUUGAACGGGUGAGUGAUCUUGCUGUUGCUGGGAUGCUAUUCAACAUCGGGAUUUGAUCUCCCUUGAGGUGUAGUGU